GAUGAACGCUGGCGGCGUGCCUAAUACAUGCAAGUCGAGCGAAUGGAUUAAGAGCUUGCUCUUAUGAAGUUAGCGGCGGACGGGUGAGUAACACGUGGGUAACCUGCCCAUAAGACUGGGAUAACUCCGGGAAACCGGGGCUAAUACCGGAUAACAUUUUGAACCGCAUGGUUCGAAAUUGAAAGGCGGCUUCGGCUGCCACUUAUGGAUGGACCCGCGUCGCAUUAGCUAGUUGGUGAGGUAACGGCUCACCAAGGCAACGAUGCGUAGCCGACCUGAGAGGGUGAUCGGCCGCACGGGGACUGAGACACGGCCCAGACUCCUACGGGAGGCAGCAGUAGGGAAUCUUCCGCAAUGGACGAAAGUCUGACGGAGCAACGCCGCGUGAGUGAUGAAGGCUUUCGGGUCGUAAAACUCUGUUGUUAGGGAAGAACAAGUGCUAGUUGAAUAAGCUGGCACCUUGACGGUACCUAACCAGAAAGCCACGGCUAACUACGUGCCAGCCGCCGCGGUAA
rnacentral:rRNA from 1 species